rnacentral:sRNA from 1 species
CGGAUAAGCAGCUAUCGGCUUCAUGCCAUCUUCAUUCAUUUGUCCAAUUCCGGGCACUGUAAGAACCUAUUCUCUGAUUCAAUCAAAUAUCCCAAACCAAAGGC